UGACCUUAAAAUGACCAAUUGUCAUCUACUAGUGCUGGCCAACCUUCAUGUCCAGUUUGAAGACUGUAAGUCCAAGCAUAAGAAAGUUAUACCAUGAAAUAAGAAUUUUAACAUUUUUACAUUCAAGGUCACGGUGACCUUGACCUUAAAAUGACCAGUGGUCAUCUACUAGUUCUGGCCAACCUUCAUAUCAAGUUUGAAGACUCUAGGUCUAAGCAUACCAAAGUAUUAACAACUUUAACAUAUUUACAUCCAAGGUCACAGUGACCUCGACCUUCAAAUGAAUGACCUUGAAAUGACCAGUGGUCAUCUAAGUGUGCUUGCAAACCUUUACGUCAAGUUUGAGAUUCUAGGUCCAAGCAUACCAAAGUUACAACAAUAUUAACAUUUUAACAUUUAAGUUCACAGUGACCUUGACCUUCAAAUGAAUGACAUUGAAAUGAAUGACCUUGAAAUGACCAGUGGUCAUCUAAGUGUGCUUGCAAACCUUUACGUCAAGUUUGAGAUUCUAGGUCCAAGCAUACCAAAGUUAUAACAAUUUUAACAUUUUAACAUUGAAGGUCACAGUGACCUUGACCUUCAAAUGAAUGACAUUGAAAUGAGCAGUGGUGAUCUUCUAGUACUGGCCAACCUUUAUGUCAAGUUUGAAGACUCUAGGUACUAGCAUACCAAAGUUAUAACAUGGAAUAAGAACUUUAACAUUUUUACCUACCAAAGUUAUAAGAACUUUAACAUUUUUACAUUCAAGGUCACAGUGACCUUGACCUUAGAAUGAAUGACCUUGAAAUGACCAGUGUUCAUCUAAGUGUGCUUGCAAACCUUCAUGUCAAGUUUGAAGACUCUAUGUCCAAGCAUACCAAAGUUAUAACAAUUUUAACAUUUUAACAUUUAAGGUCACAGUGACCUUGACCUUCAAAUGAAUGACAUUGAAAUGACCAGUGGUCAUCUUCUAGUACUGGCCAAUCUUUAUUUCAAGUUUGAAGACUCUAGGUACAAGCAUACCAAAGUUAUAACAUGAAAUAAGAACUUUAACAUUUUUACAUUCAAGGUCACAGUGACCUUGACCUUCAAAUGAAUGACCUUGAAAUGUCCAGUGGUUACUUACUAGUUCUGGCCAACCUUCAUGUCAAGUUUCAAGACUCUAGGUCCAAGCAUACCAAAGUUAUAACAACUUUAACAUUUUUACAUUCAAGGUCACAGUGACCUUGACCUUCAAAUGAAUGACCUUGAAAUGUCCAGUGGUUACUUACUAGUUCUGGCCAACCUUCAUGUCAAGUUUCAAGACUCUAGGUCCAAGCAUACCAAAGUUAUAACAACUUUAACAUUUUUAUAUUGAAGGUCACAGUGACCUUAACCUUCAAAUGAAUGACCUUGAAAUGACCAGUGGUCAUCUGUUAAUCCUGGCCAACCUUCAUGUCAAGUUUGAAGACUCUAGGUCCAAGCAUACCAAAGUUAUAACAACUUUAACAUUUUUAUAUUGAAGGUCACAGUGACCUUCACCUUCAAA